UACGUAGGGCGCAAGCGUUAUCCGGAAUUAUUGGGCGUAAAGAGCUCGUAGGUGGUUUGUCGCGUUGUUCGUGAAAACUCACAGCUUAACUGUGGGCGUGCGGGCGAUACGGGCAGACUGGAGUACUGCAGGGGAGACUGGAAUUCCUGGUGUAGCGGUGGAAUGCGCAGAUAUCAGGAGGAACACCGGUGGCGAAGGCGGGUCUCUGGGCAGUAACUGACGCUGAGGAGCGAAAGCGUGGGGAGCAAACAGG
rnacentral:rRNA from 1 species